AAGUGGUGUACGACGAGACGUAAGGGGCGGCGUACGGGGAAGCAACUGCGUACGGGGCGGCAGCGUAUGGAGCGGCUACGUAAGGGGCGGCGGCGUAGGGCGCAGCUGCCACGUAAGGUGUGGCGGCCACCGGUGCGGCGGCCACGUAAGGUGUAGCGGCGACCGGUGCGGCGGCCACGUAAGGUGCAGCGACGGCCACGAACCGUUUGCCACGAUCGGUACCGGAAACGGCAGAUUGGGCAGACGUGGAAGGCGACGAUUUGACUUCUUCGGUUGCUGGGGCGGCAGCAGCGAAGCACAUGACCGCGGCGAGUACUGCGAAAGUCACCUG